UACGGGGGGGGGUAAGCGUUGUUCGGAAUUACUGGGCGUAAAGGGCUCGUAGGCGGCCAACUAAGUCAGACGUGAAAUCCCUCAGCUUAACUGGGGAACUGCGUCUGAUACUGGAUGGCUUGGAUUCGGGAGAGGAAUGCGGAAUUCCAGGUGUAGCGGUGAAAUGCGUAGAUAUCAGGAGGAACACCGGUGGCGAAGGCGGAUCUCUGGGCCUGUCCUGACGCUGAGGCGCGAAAGCUAGGGGGAGCGAACAGG
rnacentral:rRNA from 1 species